AUGGCAACAAAUCACAACACUUCCCAUGCCAUGCUCCACGCUCCUGCCUGCCACUGGGAGCUGAGCUGUUGGAAACUGGAAGUACUGGAGGAACCCAGGAGUGGAACAACAAGCAGGCAGGUGAUGGCCACCUCGGGUUUCUGCAGCCCUCCGACUGCAAGGGAAAAGGCGUUUGUUAAAGAGCUGAUCCUGCAUGGCACUGGGCACCUUCUAUGCCUAUAGGCCUCAGAGGAAGAUGAGGAAAUCGUUACUUUACAAGAUAAAGACCUACCUGAAAGAAACUGAGCUUAAAAGCUGGCUGUCAGCAGCUCCUGCUCUACCCUCCUCAUCCCAAACCUGAAGAACAGUGAAGCUGGAGCACCCCUAACAGUGAUGAGCUCAGCCCAGCAGUCUAUGAGGUCAGCCCACAGCAGCCUGCUGCUCAGGAUGAAGACACAGAGGGACGGGAGAUCCUGAGCUAAGACAUCUCCAGCACCACCAUCACAAGAGUAACAUUGACACCCACCAUUUUUCUCUCUUUGUUUGCCAUUCAAAACUUUUCCUAUGUUUUCCUUCUUUGUAGCCAUUUCACCCUACAACCACACUACUGGCCAGUCAAAUCAGAAGCUAACUUCUAAAACAUUCUGAGUUGCUGCCAGAAGCAUCCACCAUCACUGAUACCAUAGAAUGUGAAUUAAAUAGAAAAUGAU